AGACGCUGGGGACAUGGUUCUGCGGUAAAGCGCUCCCCUGGCUAGGCUCCAGCCCCAGCACAAAUGAAACGGACGCUACCAGCCCUCGGGGUCAGAUCUGGCUGUGAGACCCAGGCCAGCGUGGGGUCAGCCUGCACUGGGGCGUGACGGCACCGUGGUCAGGAGCCCGACCAGGGGGCGUCAUGAGGCCUGGGACCUCACUGCACAGUGAGGAGCCAGCCAAGGCUUCAUGCAGUGCCCGCUACGGUGAGACGUCGAGACAGAAACCACCGCGACAGGGCGCGAGCCGAACAAACCGAGCCGUCUUGAGUUCCCAGCUUGACAGAUCGGCCUGUUGGGCAGCAGGGGCUCAGAGGGCACGAUCCCGAGGCUCACACCGCCAUGGGGCACAGAUGAGGUGGACGCGGAGCUUCUUAAAAUCUUGGGUGCUGCUUUAUUUACCAAAGGUGCUGGCCCGGGGCUGGUCCCGCUAGCAGGACUCAGUCUUCCCCUACUCGGGGUGUGGGGGCUGAGUUCUUUCCCCGGCAGGGCGGCAGCCGGGGUGCGCGGUGGGUACCAGCACCGCUGUCUCAAGAAGGCACUUUCAGCUUUGGGGUCCCCAGGAAGAACUGCAGGACGCGGUCGGCCAGGAGCGCCAAGCAGAAGUCCAGCAGCAGGACCUGGGCGAUGACCAGCUUGAACUGCCGGGUGGGGGUGGGUGAGUCGGGGCCGGGCUGGGCUGGCCUGGCCCGGUCCAGCCCAGCCCGGCCCCUCACUCACCUCCACUGGGAUGUCCACCAGGCCGAACUGGCUGUUGAAGUCAGGAGAGGAGCCGAGCAGCAGGCCGAUGGUGGCUAGGAGGGACACGGCCAGGCUCCACAGCAGGGGCCUGUUCUCGGGCAGGCUCUCCAUGAAGGGUGGGCCCUGCGGGGAUGCGGGCAAUGGCUGUGGGUGGCCUGGACAUGAGGGUGCGUGCGGGGUGGGCCCGGUUCGGGGCUGGGCGGCCUCACCUUGUAGUUGAUGGCGAAGGUGGCCAUCUGCAUGGCCAUGGCCAUGAUGUACACAGUGCUGUUGACCAGGCUGGGCUCGAACUCCUUGUAGAGGUCUACAAACUGCUCCUGCCUGUGGGACGCACCAGGUCAGGUCCCUACUGUCCCCACGCCUGUCCCUGCGCCCAGGUGACCCUGGGCUCCCGUCAGCUUCUGUGCACAGGCCCUGUUGCCCACUGCUGCCCACCACUGCCCACCAGGGCGUCACUCACUUCUCGGGACUGCGGGCCUGGGCCUCCCGGUACAGGUAGACGAGGCUCAGGAAAUGCACGGCAAACUGCAGCAUCACGGUGAGGAUGGUGUACAGGUUGAAGAUGUUGGGCAGGGGCCGCUCUCGGGACAGGGUCUUAAGGGGCUGCAGCGGCAGGGCCGGGGUCAGGGCCCACUGGCCUCCAGCAGUGAUGUCACUAAACCCCAGGAGCGGGGCGGGAGCUGCUGCCCUGGGCCCCAGUGUCUAUACUCCCUGUGGCAGCCCAGCUUUGCUUUGUUUUCUUAAGGGGAUGGGAACUCAGGGCCUCAGAGUUACACAGGGUCUCACCAACUUGCCCAGGCUGGCCUGGAAUGCUUUACCCUCCUGCCUCAGCCUCCUGAGUAGGCCUGCAGACCCACCUUGUGUGGUGUGGGUCUCAUGGCACUGCACACCCUGAGCACUCUUGGGGAUCACUCCCCAUCUGUCCCUUCCUUGCCUGCAGGGCUCUGAGGCUCCCCAAGCUGUGCCAGCCCUGACUGGACCCCCACAUCUGGGCUCUGGGCCCCACCUGUCCCUGUGGAUGACAGGUCCCACCCACAGACCACACGAGCCAGGGCCCAUGCCGCUGGGUGCCCACCUUGGAGCGGGAGAUGAAGAGGAAGCAGCCGGCCAGCAGCAGCCCCUGCAGUGUGGCCUGGAAGUCGCUGAACUUGACACCCUCCAGGUAGAGGACGCUCUGGCUGUAGGCCAGGAUGAGGGCGUUGAGCGCCAGGAUCUUGAACAUCUGCAGCGUGGUCACCAGAGUGCAGCGGCCUUGCUUGAUCACGUGGCAGACUGGGGCGACAGUGGGGAGUGUGGGAGCGGCCGUCGGGCGCGGGGCGCGGGGCGGAGGGCGGCGAGGGGCACUCACUGCACUGGAUGGACGAGAGCUUGGAGGUGAAGGGCGCGGCGAUGCUGGCGUCACCCAGCUUCACGAUGGGCGUGCUCUCGUCCUCCAGGUCGCGCAGCACCUGGCUCAGGCGGUCCUGCGGGCAGAGCAGGGUCAGCCUGACGGAGGCAGAGAGGUGCCACCAUCCCAUGCCUGCCCGACUCACCCUCUGUGAGGCUGGCUGCUCCUCGAGGGGUGGGAGCCCUGACCUCUGCCUGGCCGUCCUGGAGCUGCCCCUGCUGCCGCUGUUGCUCAGGACAGGGCUGUCCCGGGCGGGCCGCCGCCGCCGCUCCACGAGCCGCUCAGGGGCAUUGGCCAGCAGCGCCACCCCUAGAGGGACGGGCGGGGCAGCGUGCAGGCUCAGCAAGGUCGCAGCCGCUCCCUGAGCCCCAGCUCGGCCCAACCUCCCUGCCGCCGACCUUUCCAAAGGAGCCCAGAUGGGCAGUGCCCAGAGUGCUGUGCACCAGCUACUGAGGAAAGCAGGAGAUACACAAGGCGCAACACACCAAACGAGAAGCCCAACAGUCGGGGUUAAAGGUAUGCUGGCUUCACUAAUGCUCCCGCAAACACAGCAGCCAAUGCUGGAAACGCACAAAAACAGGUCUUUGCGAGCAGCGCGUGGCCGGGGUGCUCCCGGGGAUGGAUGAGAGGGGCCCUGGCACCGAGGGCAGAGCGGCCCUUCCAUGUUACAUUUUCAGCUGGUCUUGCUACAUCUCCCAGAUGGGACGCGAAUGUGUGAUCCUCCUGCCUCAGCCUAAGUGCUGGGUCGCAGGUGUGGUGCUGUGUGAGGCCUCCUGACCACAGCCCCAGGCCGCGAACCACGGGCCGCGGGCUCAGAUGCCGGGUUUCCGAGGCCACCUCUCCCGAGACACUUGCGUCCCUCUGUGACUCUGCAGCCCUCUGAGCCCCCUCCCGUCCCCUGCACUCCUUGCUCACAGGAACUGCUGCCCCCACAACUGUCCCUGCGCCACUAGAGCCACGUCUGUGCUCGGGCAGCGACGUCCCCGUGCGGCUCACCCACGUCAGCAUGCUUGAGGGCGCCCACGUCGUUGGUGCCAUCUCCGCACAUGAGCGUCACGUAGCCCAGUUCCUUCAGGCUGGUGAUGACGAACUCCUGUGGGCAGAUGGGCUGAAUGGGGACCUGUGCCCGUCCCAGGCCCCAGGCCCCAGGCCCCGCCUGGCUCCACACGCACCUUCUGCUUGGGGGCCACACGGGCGAACACCUGCACGUGGGGAAUGAGGUGCAGCAGCUGCUGGGGGUCGCUGGCCUGCAGGUGGGCCAGGCCGUCGCCCGUGAGGCAUAGGGCGUGUUCCCGCGCCAGUGCCUUGGGCGAGCCAGGGGCCAGGGGCAGUGCAAUGCUGCCGUCGAUGGAGUGCCAUGUGCACGGACCACCUGGGGACAGCACUGGGUCAUGGACAGCUGCUGGCUGCUGUCCUGUGCACUGGCUGCUUGGUAACACCCUCCUGCAUGGACUGCAGCCCUGCCAGUGCCCGCCCUGCUCCAGGCACCCACAGAACCCACAGGCACAGCUGAGGCACCGAAGCUAGUGCCUGACACCUCGUGCAAGGUACGUGUGUCACUGGCCCCUCUCUGUAGCUUUUUUUUCCCUUCUGGUACUGGGAAUCAAACUCAGGACCUUGCACUUGCCAGGCAGGUGCAGCGCCACUGAGCUACAUCCCUGGCCUGACACUGGCCCCUCUCUGAUCAGUCCCCACCUGUCACCUGCCUGACACCCUGCUCUCUCUACUGCUAGUGCUCCCUAGUCAUCCACUUCCUCUUCCUCUUUCCUUCCUCCAGGCUGCCUGGCAGGAGGGACGCCAGCCUCCUUCGGCUCUGGUCCUGGCUGUUUAGCUGCAUUGGCUCUGCCUGCUGGUCCCCAGCUGGGAGGCUGCAAAUGCCACCCUGGCCGGGUCCUCCUUGCACCUCCAUCCCACCUGGCCCUGUAAACAUUUGCCACCUGCAGCCCAGGAUGCCCCGUUUUGUGUCCCUGCUCAGGACCCCCACUGCCAGGUCCUGCAUGGAAUGGAGCCCUGCCACAGUAACAGCUAGUGCCCGGGGAAGGCGGGUUCCCGCCUGCAGCCUGCUUCUGUCCACAGAGCAGGGCCCCACUGCGGACUCAGAGCUGCUUCCUGCCUGGGUGUGGGCGAGACAGGCUGUCCAGGGCAGCUUGGAAUGUGUGUGGGGCAUGCUGGGGAGCCACACAGGGUGCUUGGCAGAGGUGCUGCCGUCGGUGCUGAAGGAGUGGAGUGCCGGGCACCCUGCUGGGCCCAGGAGCCAGUGUGGUUGGAGCAGUGCUGCCAAGGAUGGGCAGGGACCCCAGGCUGGCAUGACGACUGGCGUCCUGACACCACAGAUCGGGAGCCAGUGACCCACAUCUGAGGGGCAGGGGGUGAGGCCGGCCCGUGGGCAGGAGCUGUCACUGGAGCAGUACCCAGCACCCCUCCUCCCCACCCUGCAGGGCUCACCCUUCUCUGAGGGGGGGUGCAGGAUGAGCGUGUGGGCCUUCUCAAUGAAGCGCAGCUCCUGGGCCACGUGGCAGGCGGUGAGCGGGUUGUCCCCCGUGAUCAUGACCACCUUGGGGACAGGGAUGGGGCUCAGCAGGGCAGACCCAGAGCCACCCCGACCCAGGGUGCCCGAUGCACACAGCACGGGGGCUGUGGCCCCGAGAGCCCACACUGCCUAUUCUUCCCUAGCCCCAGCCUCGGUUCUCUCUGGCAGGAGGUGGUCCAGGGUGCUGGGUGACAGGCCCCGGCUCCUGGGAUGCUGGAGGACCUGUGGAGGUGACAUAGCAGGAGCCUGUACUAUGGGUCCCCACCAUUCCCUGCCCCAGGGAGCGAGCACUUCUGCUACGACUGGCCCGGCUGCGACUUGUAGUCUCCUCACUGUCCAGAGCACGAGGCUGGCACUGUCCCCGGCUGCCCCUUCCUGCUCGGGCCUGUACCCGAUGUGAUGCAUUCUGGAUCUCCCGGAUCACGGCCUUGGAGUCGGCCUUCAGGGGGCAGGAGACCACAAUGAAGCCGACGAACUUUAGGCUGCACUCCAGGGCCUCCCGUUUGACCUCCCGGGCCUGUGAACAGACGGGCGCCUCAGCGCACGUCCCUCCUCCCGCCAGACCCUGCUCUGCACCCCCAUGGGUCAGGAGGGAGAGAGGCAGGUAGGGGCCAGGCACCCCGAUCAUGCCUCUCCCUCCCGGCUGUGGCAC
ensembl:lncRNA